GACGUAGGGGGCGAGCGUUGUCCGGAUUCAUUGGGCGUAAAGAGCGUGUAGGCGGUCCGGUAAGUCCGCUGUGAAAGUCGGGGGCUCAACCCUCGGAUGCCGGUGGAUACUGUCGGGCUUGAGUACGGAAGAGGCGAGUGGAAUUCCCGGUGUAGCGGUGAAAUGCGCAGAUAUCGGGAGGAACACCUAUGGCGAAGGCAGCUCGCUGGGACGUUACUGACGCUGAGACGCGAAAGCGUGGGGAGCAAACAGG
rnacentral:rRNA from 1 species